rnacentral:rRNA from 1 species
AACAGCAUUAACGCAUGGUUGAUGUUUAAAAAUUGGUUUUGCUAACACUAUGAGAUGGCUUUGCGGUGCAUUAGCUAGUUGGUGGGGUAAAGGCCUACCAAGGCGACGAUGCAUAGCCGACCUGAGAGGGUGAUCGGCCACACUGGGACUGAGACACGGCCCAGACUCCUACGGGAGGCAGCAGUAGGGAAUCUUCCGCAAUGGGCGAAAAGCUGACGGAGCAACGCCGCGUGAGUGAAGAAGGAUUUCGGUUCGUAAAGCUCUGUUGUUAGGGAAGAAUGAUUGUGUAGUAACUAUACACAGUAGAGACGACCUAACCAAGAAAC